rnacentral:rRNA from 1 species
GAUGAACGCUGGCGGCGUGCUUAACACAUGCAAGUCGAACGGGAUCCAGGGAGUGCUUGCACUUUUUGGUGAGAGUGGCGAACGGGUGAGUAACACGUGAGUAACCUGUCCUUUUCUUUGGGAUAAGCUCCUGAAAGGGUGUUUAAUACCUUAUGUUCUGUCUGCCUCGCAUGGGGUGGGUGGGAAAGAUUUGUUUCGGUAAGGGGUGGGCUCGCGGUCUAUCAGCUUGUUGGUGGGGUGAUGGCUUACCAAGGCUUUGACGGGUAGCCGGCCUGAGAGGGUGGUCGGUCACAUUGGGACUGAGAUACGGCCCAGACUCCUGCGGGAGGCAGCAGUGGGGGAUAUUGCACAAUGGGCGCAAGCCGGAUGCAGCGACGCCGCGUGGGGGAUGAAGGCCUUCGGGUUGUAAACUUCUUUUGCUCUGAACAAGGCACAUCUUUGGGGUGUGUUGAGUGUAGGGGUUGAUUAGCGCCGGCUAACUACGUG